rnacentral:rRNA from 1 species
UGGCAGACGGGUGAGUAACGCGUGGGAACGUACCUUUUGGUUCGGAACAACUGAGGGAAACUUCAGCUAAUACCGGAUAAGCCCUUACGGGGAAAGAUUUAUCGCCGAAAGAUCGGCCCGCGUCUGAUUAGCUAGUUGGUGAGGUAAUGGCUCACCAAGGCGACGAUCAGUAGCUGGUCUGAGAGGAUGAUCAGCCACAUUGGGACUGAGACACGGCCCAAACUCCUACGGGAGGCAGCAGUGGGGAAUAUUGGACAAUGGGGGCAACCCUGAUCCAGCCAUGCCGCGUGAGUGAUGAAGGCCCUAGGGUUGUAAAGCUCUUUUGUGCGGGAAGAUAAUGACGGUACCGCAAGAAUAAGCCCCGGCUAACUUCGUGCCAGCAGCCGCGGUAAUACGAAGGGGGCUAGCGUUGCUCGGAAUCACUGGGCGUAAAGGGUGCGUAGGCGGGUUUCUAAGUCAGAGGU